rnacentral:lncRNA from 1 species
GGAAAAUUUUGUGCAUUGAGCAUGCACACAGUCAGGAACUCCAACAUGAGCUUUAUCUGAAAACAAUUUUAUAUUUUAUAUUAUUUAAACAGAUAAUUAUGCAUGUGAUGUAUAAUAUUGAAUAGGAAAGGGUGACACAGACCUUGAGUGGGGAUGAACUAUUGAGCUGGCAGACAACAAAUGUAAACACAGCUUAAAACCAAACUUAACAAGACCAUAAAGAACACGGUGGGAAUUAUUGAUUUGGUCCCAAAUUGUGUCCCUGCUGUCUCUGCCUCACUUUCCCCAUUAGUUCUGGAUGUGCUGGUUGUUGGUAACUCUGAGCUUGGCUUGCAUGUCCUGGUGGGCCCUGGCAGCUGAUGUUGGGGGCCUGCAGGCCUCUGCCAAGAGGAGAGACAGCACUGGGAGAAGGGAAGCAGUGUCCCAGUUUGUGAGGCUUACAUGCUGGUAUCAGAGCCCCUUUCUUCACCUUUUGUUAUCCAUACUGAGUCCCAAACUCUCUGCUGAGAAAAGAAGCACUGACCUUCAUGAUUGUCUGUCAGCAGCAUCUCCUUUUCUGUAAUCAAUUUGUCAAACAGUAAGUACUGCAACUACUCAUUUCUUUG